rnacentral:misc_RNA from 1 species
ACAAUUGAGCAAGUUUUGCACAACCUGUCAAAGUCAUUCAGGUUAUACAUCAGAAUUAAAAAAAAAAUUAUUAAACAAACAGGAAAAAUAGUAUAUAAUAUUUUUUAAGUUUAUGAAACAUACAUUAGAAUUUAGAACUCAAUAAACACAAAGAUAAGAGCAAACUAUUGAUUCAUGAUAAGGAUUUUUAAACUCCACUAUGAAAAUUGUCAUUGGGCAGGAAAAAUACUUCAUCAAUAUUAUGGUCAUAG